rnacentral:rRNA from 1 species
UACGGAGGGAGCUAGCGUUAUUCGGAAUUACUGGGCGUAAAGAGUUCGUAGGUGGUUUGUUAAGUCUGAUGUUAAAGACUGGGGCUCAACCUCGGGACUGCAUUGGAUACUGGCAGACUUGAGUGUGGUAGAGGCAAGUGGAAUUCCAGGUGUAGCGGUGAAAUGCGUAGAUAUCUGGAAGAACACCGGUGGCGCAAGCGACUUGCUGGGCCAUAACUGACACUGAGGAACGAAAGCUAGGGGAGCGAAUGGG